AUCCGGCAUCUUCCUCGCGGACAUCUUGUGGAGCGCCCAGCGGGACCGUGGGAGGCGGGGCUCUGCAGCGCCGGGCCGGUUCCGCGCUGACGGACGCCGGAGACUAGGAGGGGACGCUGUCCCCGCCGCAGAGUGGGUGGGCGCUGGGCUCAAGGGCGGAGCGCCGGGCCGGAGUGCGGCCGAGCGUGGGGCGAGGAGCCGCGGCGUCGUGGGACGGCCAGCCGCGGGCGCGAACCCACGGUUGUCAGAUGGUGGCCUGCUCCCCUCGUCAUAUGCCCACCGUCGAGGGCCCCAUCUGUCACCGACCUUCACAGCACCUAAGGCGUACCACAAAUGCUGCCGUCAUGCUCUCCGUGUCCUUGGAGAAUGUCACAGUGCUGCGAGAGCUAAGUGUGCAGGCUCUGUGGAUGGCAGCAGUUGAGAGCUUCCAUGGGGCUGGGUGUCCAUCAAAGCUGUCCUCUGUAGACCCAGCAGCCUAGCCUCGCCUGGAGCCUCUCACGGCAUCGCCAAGCCUCCCGGGAGGGAGGCCCCGAGGAGGCCAGGAAGGGAGGCCGAGUUGCCGUCCUCUGCCCUGGCACCCGCUGCCCAGGGCUGCGGCCUCCUCUGCUGCGGGGCGGUCACCAUCCUGAAGUCCUUCCCGGGCAGCGUCCCGCCCGCACAGGUUAGAUGACCGACUCCAGUCCUGAGGACACGGCAGAGGUCAGACCAGUGUUCCCGAACCUUCAGCGAUGAGGGUCCACCCUGCUCUGGAGGUGAGCAUCCCAUGCGACAUGAAUAAGGCGCAUCAAUGAUCAAAGUCACACAGGCAGCUUGGAGGGGCCGCAG
rnacentral:lncRNA from 1 species